rnacentral:tRNA from 1 species
GCCCCCAUCAUCUAGUGGUUUAGGAUAUCUCUCUUUCAAGGAGGCAGCGGGGAUUCGAAUUCUCCUCGGGGUA